rnacentral:rRNA from 1 species
UCGCCGCGUGAGGGAUGAAGGCUCUGGGCUGUAACCUCUUUUAUCAAGGAAGAAGAUCUGACGGUACUUGAUGAAUAAGCCACGGCUAAUUCAGUGCCAGCAGCCGCGGUAAUACGGGAGUGGCAAGCGUUAUCCGGAAUUAUUGGGCGUAAAGCGUCCGCAGGCGGUCUUGUAAGUCUGUCGUUAAAGCGUGGAGCUUAACUCCAUUUGAGCGAUGGAAACUGCAAGACUAGAGUGUGGUAGGGGCAGAGGGAAUUCCCGGUGUAGCGGUGAAAUGCGUAGAUAUCGGGAAGAACACCAGUGGCGAAGGCGCUCUGCUGGGCCAUAACUGACGCUCAUGGACGAAAGCCAGGGGAGCGAAAGGGAUUAGAUACCCCUGUAGUCCUGGCCGUAAACGAUGAACACUAGGUGUCGGGGGAAUCGACCCCCUCGGUGUCGUAGCCAACGCGUUAAGUGUUCCGCCUGGGGAGUACGCACGCAAGUGUGAAACUCAAAGGAAUUGACGGGGGCCCGCACAAGCGGUGGAGUAUGUGGUUUAAUUCGAUGCAACGCGAAGAACCUUACCAGGGUUUGACAUCCUGCGAAUCCCUUGGAAACGAGGGAGUGCCUUCGGGAGCGCAGUGACAGGUGGUGCAUGGCUGUCGUCC